CGGGAGGACGCGGAGAAGCGGCAGGACAUUGUUCUGAGUGGGCACUUCAUCAAGGAGGAGCACUGUGUCUUCCGGAGCGACUCCCGCGGGGGAAGUGAAGCUGUGGUGACCCUGGAGCCCUGUGAAGGGGCGGACACCUAUGUCAACGGCAAGAAAGUCACGGAGCCCAGCAUCCUGCGGUCAGGAAACCGCAUUAUCAUGGGCAAGAGCCACGUGUUCCGGUUCAACCACCCGGAGCAGGCGCGGCAGGAGCGCGAGCGCACGCCUUGCGCGGAGACGCCGG
rnacentral:lncRNA from 1 species